GUGCCAGCAGCCGCGGUAAUACAGAGGUCCCAAGCGUUGUUCGGAUUCACUGGGCGUAAAGGGUGCGUAGGUGGUGAGGUAAGUUGGGUGUGAAAGCUCGGAGCUUAACUCCGAAACGGCAUUCAAAACUACUUUGCUAGAGGGUCGGAAGGGAGACUGGAAUUCUCGGUGUAGCGGUGAAAUGCGUAGAUAUCGAGAGGAACACCAGUGGCGAAAGCGAGUCUCUGGACGACUCCUGACACUGAGGCACGAAAGCUAGGGGAGCAAACAGGAUUAGAUACCCUUGUAGUCC
rnacentral:rRNA from 1 species